rnacentral:rRNA from 1 species
UGAGGAAUAUUGGGCAAUGCCCGCAAGGGUGACCCAGCAACGCCGCGUGGAGGAUGAAUGUCGUAAGAUUGUAAACUCCUGUUAGAGGGGAAGAAUAGUACCGGUUGGACCGGUAUAUGACUGUACCCUCAGAGAAAGCCCCGGCUAACUACGUGCCAGCAGCCGCGGUAAUACGUAGGGGGCAAGCGUUGUCCGGAUUUACUGGGUGUAAAGGGCGCGCAGGCGGGAUAAAAAGUCAGUGGUUAAAUCCUACAGCUUAACUGUAGAACUGCCUUUGGUACUUUUAUUCUUGAGUUCGGGAGAGAGAGACGGAAUUCCUGGUGUUGUGGUGAAAUACGUAGAUAUCUGGAAGAACACCAGUUGCGAAGGCGGUCUCUUGGUCCGACACUGACGCUGAGGCGCGAAAGCGUGGGGAGCAAACA